UGUUAUGACUUUAAUUGUAAAAACACAAACUAUCCAAAAAUAGCAACAGCUGUCAUUUUAAUUUCUGAAAUAAGAGGAGAGUUUCCUCCACAAAAUUAAGCUAGGUGGAGAAAGAUGAAGAGGAGUUCUGCCAAGAAACAAACUAAAUAACCACCGAAGGGGCCUGCAUGACAUGGAUAAUGGACUUAAUCUCAAAAUAAAAGAAAAUGGACCUCGACGUCAAAUAACGCUAAUCCUGGAACAGGGAGCCUGGUGGAAACAAAGGAGUUGGAGCAGACAAAUGAGGCAGCCCAUGGCGUAUGACAGUCCCAGAGAAAAAUGAUCAAAUUUCCCAGCUCUCCCUCUGGUACAGCCUGUCCAGUCCAGACUCCUCCUCCUCCUCCGAGCCUCACCGCUUGCUAGCCAUAUUCCAUGACCAUAGUGAAACAAGAGGAAACACGUCAGAAAAGAGAGGAGGGAGUGUUGUUUUUUAUUCUCUUCACUGGUUUUCAUGAGAGCCAGAUGGAACAAUUAAUCCCCAAUCAACACAGGAAUAUUAAGUAGCCUUAACUCCUGCAUGAGGGACUUUACCAUCCUUGUUGUGUCCCCAUGGCUAAUGUCUAUCCAGCUAAACACACUGCUUCAGUUAGCUGUGUGGAUCUGUUGUCCUAUCUGACAGAUGGGAAGGGUUUCUAUAAGCCUGGCUGCAGCUUCUUAGAAAUUCUUCAGCUAUUCCAACACUGAAGAUCUGCCUCCAGCACAGAUCUUGAGCUUUACUCUCUGCAAAGUGCAUUAUCAACUCGCAUGCCUAAAGAUGCUGAAGGUUUGAGGACAAGCAAGAAAGAACAAACACGCAGCAGCUUAGCUCGCAUCCUCAGGCAUCUCCUCCGUCAGUGCUUUUGUCUCAUCGACUGCUGCCUCCCAUCAAUAUAUCCAAAGGCAGAGGGUAGAAUGUGGUGACAGUGGUACUAAAAUGGGACCAGUUUAUCUGUUAAGAUGUCAGCUUCAGCCACAUCUGAUGCUGCUUCUGCUGAGGGACCACUUCUAUGGGAGGUACAGACACUGCCGACAGCUUGCAAGGGAUUACUGAUAGACGUGAUUGAUGGAUUUCUUCUGCAAGGAGAAACGGCAGCCUCAGGCAGUCAAUGCUGAUAGUCCAUUAGCUUUUUUAUGCCUUCGAAUUAACUGCAUACAUUGCUUUAUGGCUUGCAUGUAGCACUUUGAAUCUUAAUUAAAUGUUUUUGUUUUCAGUUUUAUAGAGUUUAUGCUGCGCACAAGGAUAAAGUGUUUGUCUUCACUCAUA